CACGUAGGGCGCGAGCGUUGUCCGGAAUUAUUGGGCGUAAAGAGCUCGUAGGCGGCCUGUUGCGUCUGCUGUGAAAGCCCGGGGCUUAACCCCGGGUCGGCAGUGGAUACGGGCAGGCUAGAGGUAGGUAGGGGAGAAUGGAAUUCCCGGUGUAGCGGUGAAAUGCGCAGAUAUCGGGAGGAACACCGGUGGCGAAGGCGGUUCUCUGGGCCUUACCUGACGCUGAGGAGCGAAAGCGUGGGGAGCGAACAGG
rnacentral:rRNA from 1 species